AUCCAGCUGAUGAGUCCCAAAUAAAACGUAACGCGCGUCAAACUGGAU
rnacentral:hammerhead_ribozyme from 1 species